UACGUAGGUGGCAAGCGUUAUCCGGAUUUACUGGGUGUAAAGGGCGUGUAGGCGGCUCUGCAAGUCAGAAGUGAAAUUCCUGGGCUCAACCCGGGCGCUGCUUCUGAAACUGCAGAACUUGAGUACUGGAGGGGAAAGCGGAAUUCCUAGUGUAGCGGUAAAAUGCGCAGAUAUUAGGAGGAACACCGGUGGCGAAGGCGGCUUUCUGGACAGUAACUGACGCUGAGGCGCGAAAGCGUGGGGAGCAAAC
rnacentral:rRNA from 1 species